CACGCAGCUGCAGAGCGAUGGGGAGGACGUGAGUGAGCCAGGGUUGCUGUGUUCCCCUGGGACAAGGAGAUAACGUAUUUUCUCCUCCCCUGCCGCUGCACCAUGGGCACAGCUCUUCCAAGUCUCUGGGUCUCCCAGUACUGCCUCUUGCUGUCACUGGACAGAAGAGCUCCUGCCAGACAAAAGUCACACAAGGAGUUGGCAGCCGAGGUGACAGUUCUGCUUCACCUAUUAUUUUCCUAGACUGAGCACCGAGCCCUUAGUUGGGGACAGUUGGGGACUCCACCAUCUAAGCCCAGACAGGCCUGAAUCGUUAAGGGAAAGUCUCCAGAGGAAAGCAUGGAGCUUUUGUUUGGCGCUUUUCCAAACCUAUAUUGGAGGACCAACUGAUGUCUCUCAGAGGACACAAACACUUGGAGAUGGAUGGCUUACCUUCUGACCUCAUAGUGCACUUCGAUACAUUUUAUAUCUUGGAAUAAAAAAAAAACAAAUAAAAAAAGGACAAAAAACCAAAACCCAC